rnacentral:tRNA from 1 species
AUUUAAAUAGUUUAAUAAAAAUAUUAAUUUGUGGGAUUGAAGAUUAUGUUAUAAUAUUUAGAU